UGAUUGUAUACUGGUUAGUACAUUGCGUUGUUGCCGCAAUAACCCAGGUUCGAAUCCUGGUCA
rnacentral:tRNA from 1 species